rnacentral:rRNA from 1 species
UAGGGAAUCUUCCGCAAUGGACGCAAGUCUGACGGAGCAACGCCGCGUGAGUGAAGAAGGAUUUCGGUUCGUAAAACUCUGUUGUUAGAGAAGAACAGCGCAUAGAGUAACUGUUAUGCGUGUGACGGUAUCUAACCAGAAAGCCACGGCUAACUACGUGCCAGCAGCCGCGGUAAUACGUAGGUGGCAAGCGUUGUCCGGAUUUAUUGGGCGUAAAGCGAGCGCAGGCGGUCAAUUAAGUCUGAUGUGAAAGCCCCCGGCUCAACCGGGGAGGGUCAUUGGAAACUGGUUGACUUGAGUGCAGAAGAGGAGAGUGGAAUUCCAUGUGUAGCGGUGAAAUGCGUAGAUAUAUGGAGGAAAACCAGUGGCGAAGGCGACUCUCUGGUCUGUAACUGACGCUGAGGUUCGAAAGCGUGGGUAGCGAACAGG